CCCCCCCCCGGUUUUUUUUCAGGGUGCAGCGCUGCUUGAACUGCCUGGGAAAAGGUUACGCUUGAAGAAGCAAUGUGUUUAUCUUGAUUGGCGACCUUUUCUCGCACGACACGAAGUAUUGGUCGUGCCAGAAUAGUUUGAACAAUGUUGUCUAGUGUCCACAAAGAGAAUUAAUAUAGCCAUUCUGUCCGCAAGAUGAACAAAUUUGUAUGGAUGCCUUAUGCAUAUCAUGAGUCUUGAAAAAACUACCCGUUUGUAUGCUAAUCUCUUGUUGAAAUUCCAUAUGGAAGCCGUCUGGUGUUUACUGGCAUUGUGGGAAGUGGAGCCACUUCAACCGUGAAUGGACAAUUUAGUGUGGCCUGCAGACUGAGACUGCAUCACACAGCUGUGGAAUCUGCUCUGGUAAUAAUACAACUUAAGGACCUUGUGCUCUGGUA